GACAGAGGGUGCAAACGUUGUUCGGAAUUACUGGGCGUAAAGCGCGUGUAGGCGGCUCGAUAAGUCUGCUGUGAAAGUCCAGGGCUCAACCCUGGGAUGCCGGUGGAUACUGUCGAGCUCGAGUCCGGAAGAGGCGAGUGGAAUUCCUGGUGUAGCGGUGAAAUGCGCAGAUAUCGGGAAGAACACCCGUGGCGAAGGCGGUUCUCUGGGACGGUACUGACGCUGAGACGCGAAAGCGUGGGGAGCGAACAGG
rnacentral:rRNA from 1 species